UACGUAGGGGGCAAGCGUUGUCCGGAUUUAUUGGGCGUAAAGCGCGUGUAGGCGGCUUCGUAAGUUGGAUGUGAAAUCCCACGGCUCAACCGUGGACGUGCAUCCAAAACUACGUCGCUGGAGUCUCGGAGAGGAAGGUGGAAUGCUUGGUGUAGAGGUGAAAUUCGUAGAUAUCAAGCAGAACACCUGCGGCGAAGGCGGCCUUCUGGACGAUGACUGACGCUGAGACGCGAAAGCGUGGGGAGCAAACAGG
rnacentral:rRNA from 1 species